UACGUAGGUGACGAGCGUUGUCCGGAUUUACUGGGCGUAAAGGGCGCGUAGGCGGCUGGGGAAGUCUGUGGUGAAAGCUCGUGGCUCAACUACGAGUCGGCCAUAGAUACUCCUCAGCUCGAGCACUGUAGAGGCAGGUGGAAUUCCGGGUGUAGCGGUGGAAUGCGUAGAGAUCCGGAAGAACACCGGUGGCGAAGGCGGCCUGCUGGGCAGUAGCUGACGCUGAGACGCGAAAAGCGUGGGGGAGCAAACAGG
rnacentral:rRNA from 1 species